AUGAAAGGGGCCCGUCUGCUGUUGUCAAAACUGAAUGUUGGGCCCCGGUGUCUACUAGAAAGGUGGUGGGGCGCCCCCCUACAGAAAGGGUUAUCCGGGGCUCGGGGGGGGCUUCGGAGCCCUGACGCCCCUAAUCGCUGUCCUCUCCCAGGGUCAGGACCGGGGUGGGUUUCUUCCGGUCCUUAGGACGUUUAGGACAGUCUUUGAUCCAAUGUCCUCGUUCUUUGCAGUAGGCACAUUGGUCCUUAUCCACUUUCGGGCGCCUUCGUUCUCCCCCCUUUCUCUGGCCCUGGCCCUUUCCCUGUCACUACUGCUGCCAGGAUUUUAGUCAAAUGCCUGUCUCUCCUACGAUCUCGUCGAUCUUCUCGCUCUUCCUGUUCCUUUGCUAGCCUAGCUUCUUUCUCCUCAAUAGUCUCUCUUUUAUUAUAAACUUUUUCUGCUUCUCUAACUAGUUCUUGCAGCCCCUAAGUCUGAAUCCCGUCUAAUCUCUGGAGCUUGCUCUUUAUGUCUAGAGCUGCCUGAUCUAUGAAUGACAUAGCCACAGUGGCCUUGUGCUCCGGGGCCUCCGGAUCGAAUGGAGUGUACAUUCGAAACCCCUCUAGGAGCCUCUCCAUGAAUGCCGCCGGGCUUUCAUUCUUUUCCUGAGUAAUAGUUCUUACCUUGGCCAAAUUGGUGGGGCGCUUUCCGGCCCCUUUGAGACCUGCCAGCAGAGCCUGGCGAUAGAUUCGGAGACUCUCCCUACCUGAUGCUGUUUCAUAGUCCCAAUCCGGGCGGGUGAGGGGAAAUCCCUCAUCUAUCUCGUUGGGGAGCUGGGUCGGGAGUCCUCCUGGCCCUGGCACAUGUUUCCGGGCCUCGAGGAGGACUCGUUGCCUCUCUUCUGUGGUCAGAAGAACCUGCAAGAGCUGUUGACAGUCGUCCCAAGUGGGUUGGCUUCUCAGAGGCAGGCAGAUCGAUCACUUGACGUCAGGAGUUCAAGACCAGCGUGGCCAACAUGGUGAAACCCCAUCUUUAAUAAAAAUACAAAAAUUAGCCAGGUAGAGGGAGAGUUCUGAUGCAAGUACUCAAAAGAGAAGACAAUGUGAAAACAGAGCAGAGAGAUAUGCCAAGGAAUGCUGACCAUAAUCAGAAGCUAAAAGAGGCAAAGAACAGUCUCUCUCCUAGAGCCUCCAGAGGGGCCUCAAUAUCUUGAUUGCAGACUUCUGGGCUCCAAAAUUUUGAGAAGAAUAAAUUCCUCUUGUUUUAAACCA